AGAGUUUGAUCCUGGCUCAGAGCGAACGCUAGCGGCGGGCCUAACACAUGCAAGUCGAGCGGGGAGCUUCGGCUCCUAGCGGCGGACGGGUGAGUAACACGUAGGUAAUGUACCUACUGGUGGGGAACAACCGUGGGAAACCAUGGCUAAUACCGCAUAUGUCCUUCGGGAUGAAAGCCUUCGGGCGCCAGUUGAGCAGCCUGCGGCCCAUUAUUUAGUCCUAGUUGGUAGGGUAAUGGCCUACCAAGGGUACGAUGGGUAGCUGGUCUGAGAGGAUGAUCAGCCACACUGGAACUGAGACACGGUCCAGACUCCUACGGGAGGCAGCAGUGGGGAAUAUUGCGCAAUGGGCGAAAGCCCGACGCAGCCACGCCGCGUGAGUGAUGAAGGCCUUCGGGUCGUAAAGCUCUGUCGGGAGGGAAGAAGGCGCAAGCCUGACGGUACCUCGCAAGAAAGCACCGGCUAACUCUGUGCCAGCAGCCGCGGUAAUACAGGGGGUGCAAGCGUUGCUCGGAUUUACUGGGCGUAAAGCGUACGCAGACGGCCACGCAAGUCGGGUGUGAAAGCCCCGGGCUCAACCCGGGAACUACAUUCGAAACUACGCGGCUCGAGUAUGGGAGAGGGAAGCGGAAUUCCUGGUGUAGAGGUGAAAUUCGUAGAUAUCAGAGGAACACCGGCGGCGAAAGCGGCUUCCUGGCCCAUUACUGACGUUCAGUACGAAGGCGUGGGUAGCAAACAGGAUUAGAUACCCUGUAGUCC
rnacentral:rRNA from 1 species